GCGGGGGUAGCCCAGCCAGGUCAACGGCGGUGGACUUAAGAUCCACUCCUGCAGAGGUACGCGUGUUCAAAUCGCGCCCCCCGCACCA
rnacentral:tRNA from 1 species